GCGGGCGUAAUUCAGUGGUAGAAUGAAAGCUUCCCAAGCUUUAUAUGGCGGUUCGAUUCCGCUCGCCCGCUCCA
rnacentral:tRNA from 1 species